rnacentral:rRNA from 1 species
AUUGAACGCUGGCGGCAGGCCUAACACAUGCAAGUCGAGCGAGCGUCGGACGCGUGUGUAUUGUCUGUGAAACUGCCUGCUUGCGGGGGAUAACUACUGGAAACGGUAGCUAAUACCGCCUACCAUCAGUUUUUCCCCGAUGGGAUAAGAUAGUGGGUGGGGUAAUGGCUCACCUUGGCGACGUUCCCUCGCUGGUCUGAGAGGAUGACCAGCAACACUGGAACGGAGCAACGGUCCAGCCUCUUACGGGAGGAAGCAGUGGGGAAUAUUGCACAAUGGGGGCAAGCCUGAGGAAGCCAGGCCGCGUGUGUGAAGAAGGCCUUCGGGUUGUAAAGCAUGUUCAGCGGGGAGGCGUUACCCGCAGAAGAAGCACCGGCUAACUCCGUGCCAGCAGCCGCGGUAAUAC